rnacentral:rRNA from 1 species
GACGAACCGUACGAACGUUAUUCGGAAUCACUGGGCUUAAAGGGUGCGUAGGCGGCGCAGUAAGUUGGGUGUGAAAUCCCUCGGCUUAACCGAGGAAUUGCGCCCAAAACUACUGUGCUCGAGGGAGGUAGAGGUGAGCGGAACUUAGGGCGGAGCGGUGAAAUGCGUUGAUAUCCUAAGGAACACCGGUGGCGAAAGCGGCUCACUGGACCUCUUCUGACGCUGAGGCACGAAAGCUAGGGUAGCAAACGGG